CUCGUAGCCGUAACUCGUAACUCCUAACCUAAAUCAUAUUCGCACCGCACUCGGUUUCUCUCUCACCUCACAACACAACUCUCACCGCACCACCGCCGGAUUUGAAACGGGGAAUCAGUCGCCGCCGCUCCCUCUCAUUUUUCAUCUCAUUCACGUUCAUCUAUUAUUGGAGCCCUAAUAGAAUCCGCCGGUUCUUUGAGCUCUCCCGUCCAUUAGCGAUGAGUAGAGAAGGAAUCGCCGUUUUUUCUUAAAGGUAUCUCGUUCAUCACCGAACAGAAAAGGAGUUGCUGGUUUCUUCCUUUCUCUCUCAUCACCGCAGGUUCACUACUCGCGGCUCUCAAGGAAAUGGAGGAACUUCCUAAUCAAGCAAGUAGUGAAGAUUGUACCAUGUGGAAUAGAGAAAUUAAUGAGAUUACAGAGGAACGUAGGGUCGAUUUUAAUAAGGAAGGGAUUUGUGGCAGCCCCACUAAUGCUAGUUUUUCACAGCAAAAUAUGGACUCAGAAGUAAGCGAAAAACAGGGGGUACCUGAAGUUGGAAUGGUGUUUCAAACAUUGGAAGAUGCAUAUUCUUUCUAUAAUGGAUAUGCUAAAAAUGCAGGUUUCAGUGUUAGAAUAUUUAAGGGAUACAAAACGAAAUCUGGUGUUUGGAAAUCUAGGGCAUUUGUUUGUUCUUAUGAAGGUUUUCGUGGUAUUGAUAAAAGGCGAAUUCAUGCAAAAUUUCGUCGUGACAUUAGAAGAACUGGUUGUGCAGCAAGAAUCAGGCUUAUGUUGCAAGAAAAUGGAAAAUAUCGCGUGACUGAAUUUGAAGGAACUCAUAAUCAUCAACUUCUUAAUCCAAGAAGUUCAUACAUGCUAAGGUCACAUAAGAAUAUAACAAUAGCUCAUGAUGCUCAAGCAGAUCUUAUAACUGAUUCUUGUACACAUCCAAAGGCUACAUUGGAAUUUAUGGAUAGACCAGUUGAUAGAAUUGAAAGCAUUGGUUUUACUAGUUUUGACUAUAGCAAUCAUUCACAUGCAGAGAAUAAGAAGGACAUGGAAAAUGGAGGUGCAAGAGCUAUUAUGAAGUACUUUGAUAAAUUGCAAGAAGAGAACAUAUCAUCCUUCCAUUCAAUAAAGUUUGAUGAAGAGAAUCAAAUAACAAACAUCUUUUGGGCUGAUGUGAAGAUGUUGGUUGAUUAUAGUUAUUUUGGAGAUGUUAUUUGUUUUGAUACUACCUUCAAAACUAAUGAGGAGAGGCAACCAUUUGCACCUUUUGUUGGAGUUAACCAUCAUAAGCAAACCAUCUUUUUUGGAGCUGCAUUGAUGUAUGAUCAAAGUGUUGAGUCUUUUAAGUGGGUGUUUCACUCUUUUUUAAAAGCAAUGUCUGGGAAACAACCAAAAACGAUUCUUACAGACCACGACCCAAGAAUUGCAAAUGCAAUAAAGCAAGUAUUUCCAGACACAUGCCAUCGCCUAUGUAUAUGGCAUAUAUAUCAGAAUGCAACCAAACAUUUUAGUAGUAUAUUUGCUGCUUCUUCAUCCUUUGAGAAAGACUUUAGUAGCCUUAUAUAUGACCAUGAGGAUGAAGACGAAUUUCUUAAAGCAUGGCAUGAGAUGCUUGAAAAAUAUGAGUUAAAAGAAAAUACGUGGCUUCAAGAAUUAUUUGAAGUAAAGGAGAAGUGGUCUUUGGUAUAUGGGCGAAAUCAAUUUUGUGCCGACAUGAAAAGUACACAAAGGAGUAAGAGCGUAAAUAGUAUAUUGAGAGGGUACUUGAAAUCAUCUCCUGAUUUAGCUCAAUUUUUUAAUCAUUUUGAAAAGGUUGUAGCAGAUUGUCGUCAAAGAGAAAUGGAGAUGGAAGUAAAGAUGAGCCAGGGCACACCUUAUUUGUCUUUUCCGAUAAGGAUUUUGAAGUGGGCCGCAUCUAUAUAUACCCCUACAGUAUUUAGGGAGUUUGAAAAAGAAUAUUCAAGGGCCCUUGAUUGUGAUAUUGUAAGUAAAGCUGAAGUUGGAACAACGAUGGAGUAUAGAAUAAAAGAUUGUAGUAGACCUAAUGUGCAUGUUGUUACAUUUGACCCCUUAAAUGUAGCGGUUGUAUGCAGUUGCAAGAAGUUUGAGUCUGUUGGAUUGUUGUGUGCCCAUGCACUUUGUGUUCUUUUUGAAAGGCAAUUGAAACAAGUCCCACAACAAUACCUCUUAAAAAGAUGGACAAGAGAUGCAAAGGAUGGAGCCACAAUUGAUCAUCGUGGACAUGCAAUUAAACUUGAUCCUAAUGCGGGGUUCUCUACAAUGUUCACAGAGUUACAAAGAGUAGCUAGAGAGACAUCAGCACGUGCUGCAGAAGACAGAAGGGCGUUCGCAUAUUUAUUAGAUGUAUAUAACAAUGCACGCAAAGGGGUAGAAGAAAUUUUGAAGAAAAAGGGUUCUUUGGAUUUUUCAUCUCCUGGUUUGAUCUAGUAGAUUUCUUGGAUAGAAUUGGGACAGGUAGAAUUGUACAAGCUACUUAUACACAGCUCAGCCUUUUUGAAUAGAUAGCAUCCUACAUGGAGUGUACAAAAGGCUGCUUGAUUGCACAGUAAUGGGGGGGGGAAAUGUUCAAAUGGUUAUGCAAUGAAGGCUAUAGUUGCUGAUUGGGAAAAAACGAAGGCCAGGUUCAAGGAAGCUGUGGUAUUUCAUAACAAGUGAAUUGUCCCCAAAAUGUCUCUCACAACACCACAAGGAUGGGCCCACCAGUGACCAUGGGUGGCUCCAAUCCGUAGGGUUGUAGCAUUUGGCCUCUUCUAUGGCUUCAACAAGCAUCAAUCAAUGCCUCCCAAACAUCCUCAUGUAGUGGUUUCUCAUUGCUCAUAUUCAAUUAGAAAUCUCUUUGGUUCUACUCAGUUAAUGGUGAUUUCUAAUUGGUCUCUCUUUAUGAUUCCUUCGCAAUUGAAGUGAUUUCCAAUCGAGUUGGUUAACUUCUCUAAAUGAAUAAGCUUACAUCAAUUCAACUAAUGGUAAUUUCUCAUUGAUGACUUAUAGUGGUCCAUUCUUGAUGGUCUAAGGAUUGCCAAUAGACUCAUUAAAUCCUUGGCAGUUGAAGGUAAUUCUAGAUUCAAGAGGUUUCCUCUCAGUUGAAUUGGAGCUUCAGAUGGAUCCCCCAUGACUUAAAUCAAGCAGCAGUUGGGUUAGCAAAAUUAGGUAUGGGAAGGGAUAUUUUGUACAGAUCAAAUACAAUGACUAAUUAAUUGCUUGGCCCUUGCUUUUUUGUUUCUUCAGGCCCAUAUGUACAUUCUCUCUCUCUCUCUCUCUCUCUCUCUCUCGUGUACGAGCUAUAUUUUUCCAAAAAAAGUCAUAAGUAACUUUCUAGAAUUUCAAGACAUAAUAUUUCGGUUUAAAAUUAUACAAAUAAUAACAUCAUAUUCCUAAUCUUACCAUUUGUUUAAAAUAUUACAUUCUAGCUGUUAUUUUUCUUCAAUUAUAUUCGUCUCAUUGUCUUCUUCAUAUACACAGAUGCUCAACAGUUAUUAGCAAAGAUUGAAAGGCCGGAGAGGAGACUCCACUCUCCAGCAAGAUGGAAAUGGAAUGGAACAGAUCCUGAUCAAAGAAAUUCAAUAUUUGCGUUCCUUUAGUAUUAGUUGUUUUGUCCUGUAUGUAAAUAGAAAAGAGAAGUAUAUAACUUACCAUGUCGCCAAUAUGGCGAAUAGGAACUGAUGUGGAUUAGCCAGGCCCAGCCCACUAACGUCUGAUAGUGUCAGCCACAGUAGGGGGGAAGUCCUGCCUUCGUACGGAGCCAACCGCAAGACGGUCAAACGUACCCGCUAGGGCCUGCCACCUAACCUCAUAUGGCCCUCAUCUGGUGCGUUCAUCUUCACCUACUUCCAGCCCGUUCGAGUAUAAAUAAGAGGUGACUCCCCCUUAAUGGGGGACCAGAACUUGGGAUUCUAACAUAUCUCCCUCAUUUACUUUUCGCACCUACCUUCAUUCCUUAGCAUUUAUUCUUGGAGACCCGUGUAUCCGAGGACUGUCACUAAGAACCUUGUCUGCACCCCCUCCUACUUUACACCUCGUAUUGACUUGAGCGUCGGAACCUCUGCUUUGGGUUUUGACCUGAGGCCUUCGACACUUCCUGUUUUGCAGUACCUUGGAUCUCCAAGAACCUUGCCACCGGAGUGACGACUUAUAGCCCUCGGCUUCUACGGUCAUCGGAAGGAAUACCUCGCCUCGGCUAACCUCUUCCGAGGCCUCGAAGUCUUUGGCCUAUCCUCGGAAUUUGGAGAGUGAAUUUACCUCGUUGCCCCCGGCAAAUCCGUGUGGCAAUAAUUGGCGUCGUCUGUGGGAAACGUUGCUAAGAUGACCCCCUUUUUAAGAUAAAGAACAUACUUUGACUCCAAGCCCUCCUAAGCUCGAAAGCCAUGGUGCGGAGAACCAGGAAUAAAUAGAACCUGGUCACCUAUAAACAGUUUCAGGCUGUCCUCGAUCGUUUGGACCACCUUACUCAACGUAUGGAAGAAGUCUGCCCCUGAGCAGGGGGUCCCUCUCGAGGCGACCGCCCCACUGGGGUGUCAGAGGAUCAGGGUUGACACGAGCAUGUCAAGCCACCAGCCCUCGGCUAGGGGCAACAACUCGCUGGUUGAGCCAUCGGAGUCAGGCAACAACAAUCCCCCCAAUUCACCACGAAGGAACAUCUGUCCUAACCGAAGGGAAAAUGUGCCCGCUCAAUCCGAAGACAAUCACCAUCCUUUGGAGCAACACCACUGUCAUCGAAGGGAGGUCCUUAGGGAUGAUGACAGGCAUCUCAGUCGUCUCGAAGUUUGCUCCCAAGGCGAGAGCCGACGCCACACCACUCCACCUGUCUUGGAGUACUUGGGAGUCCGAGCUGAUGCCCACCAAGUCCAUGAAGACAAAAGCAGGGCCCACGCCCCCGCUGACCCAGGGAUUGCUGAGUUGCGAGCCAAGAUCGGGGCCGUCAAGGACGAGCUCCGCCAAGUUAAAGAGAGACAAGCCGACACCUCAACCAGUCACAACAACUCCACUGGCCACACGGACGCAUUCACCCCGGAAAUCAUUUCGGAACCUCUCUCCCCACACUUCAAGGCUCCUACUUUGGAGAUGCACGAUUUCUUAGACCUGGACGACCACCUAAAGAGUUUCCGAGUGCUCAUGAUACUUUAUGGGUAUUCCGACGCCUUGAUGUGAUGCACUUUCAAGGCCACCUUAAAGGGGGCAACGCGCCGCUGGUUCUCCAACCUCCCCCCGAGGUCAAUUAGUUCUUGGGAGCAGUUUGCCAAUAUGUUUCUCGCCCACUUCAUUAGAAACAGGCGAUGCCAGAAGAGUGUCGUCUCAUUCAUGUCCAUCAAGGUUUGGGUCCGGGAGGAGUUGAGUGGCAUAUAUUAGCUAUAGGUUGUGGCUCAAGCCGACGACUUCUUGUUAUCUUUGCUGUCAUCAGCGCGUCGAUCUUUGUUCUUCCUUUUCUUUUCGGAGGGCCCGCCGUUGCAUUCGGUUUCCUUGUCCUAGUGGUCCCCAGCAGAAGCCUCCUCAGCCUUAAUGCACUUUUGGGCCUUUUUCAGGAAUUCUAGCUUUGUCUUCGAUGGGGUCUUAGCGACUGAACACUUAAGGGCGGAGCCAGCUCAGAGUCUGCUGAUGGCGUUGUGCAUUGAUACCAUGGGGUCAAGGUCCCUGACCUCGACCCCAAGAACUAAUGAAGCGAGGAGAAGUUUGUAAAGUGGCCAGAAAAGAUGAAGAGAAACCCCAAGAGCGGGAACCCUAAAAAGUACUACAAGUUUCAUCGCGGUGUGGGCCACGAUACCGAGGACUGCUACGAGUUAAAGAACGAGAUAAAGUCCCUCAUCCAUCAUGGACACCUGAAGCAGUAUGUUGGAGGCGAAGUCGGCGCUUCGUCCUCCCAGCAGCAAUAGCAACACCAAUAGGUCAUUGGAGUCAUCGACGUCAUCGUCAGGGGCUCGGCCUCAGGGGGAGCCUCGUCCUCGGCCCGCAAGGGCUACGCCAGGCAGUUGAGCAUCCGAGGGCCAGCCCCCAAGAGGCCAAAGCAGCACGAUGACCUCUCUUUCACGAACGAGGACCUAAAUGGGAUGGGAUCAUGGUCCCCUAUGAUGAUGUGUUGGUAAUUUUGGCCGUAGUGGAAAACUUCCUAGUUAAGAGGAUUAUCGUCGAUAGUGGCUCCUCGACAAACAUCCUCUUCUAUGAAGCUUUUGAAAAGAUGAAAAUAGAGCCAGGGCACCUUCAACCUGUCAAUGUCCCGCUUGUCGGCUUUUCUGGCAAUAUUGUUAAACUAGAAGGAAAGAUCACCCUACCAGUCACGAUAGGAACCAAGCCUCAAUAGGUGACGAGGAUGAUGAAGUUCCUUGUCAUGAGGAUCGGCUCCCCUACAAUGCAAUCAUGGGGAGGCCGGCACUUCAUGCACUGUGAACCGCCAUGUCUUCCUACCACCUUGCCCUCAAAUUCCUAAACGAGCACGGCAUCGGAGUCGUUCGGGGGGAUCAGUAUGUUGCCUGCCAAUGCUAUAUGGUGGCGCUGAAAGGCAAGAACAAAGAAGCCUUGCCAUUGGAGGGCCUUGACCUCAGGAAAGAACCAACGAACCAAAGCCAGCCGACAAAGGACCUCGUCUCAGUUCCCCUAGACGAGGACGAGCCCGAGAAGACUGUCCGUGUCAAGUCCAACCUUCCCCCACAAAGCCUAUCCGAGCUGGUAAGUUUCCUCAAAACUAAUGCCGACUUCUUCGCUUGGUCCUCCAGUGACAUGCUUGGAAUUGACCCUUCAAUCAUUUCUCACAGGCUGAGCGUGGACCCGAGCUCUUGGCCAAAUCGACAGAAUAAGAGGAACUUUGCAAUGGAGCGAUGGAAGGCCAUAGGAGAUGAGGUUGGCAAGCUACUCAAUGCCGGAUUCAUCCGAGAGGUAUACUAUCCUAUCUGUCAAAUGUGGUUUUGGUUAAGAAAGCUAAUGGGAAAUGGCGAAUCUGUAUUGACUUCAUAGACCUUAACCGAGUCUGUCUCAAUGAAAGUUUUCCCUUACCAAGGAUAGACCACAUUGUCGAUGCCACUGCAAGAUAUGGACUGCUUAGAUUUAUGGAUGCCUUCUCCGGAUACAACUAGAUAAAGAUGCACCUCGAAGAUGAAGAGAAUACCUCAUUCAUCACCAAACAUGGCACUUACAAGGUGAUGCCCUUUGGACUUAAAAUGCAGGAGCUACCUACCAAUGCCUUGUGAACAAAGUGUUUAAGGAUCAGAUGGGGAGGAAUGUUCAGGCCUAUGUAGAUGAUAUGGUGGUGAAGAGCCUGAAAGCCGAGGCCCACACCUCAGACCUGGCCGAGGCCUUCGACACUUUGCGAAGGUUUAAUAUGAAGUUGAACCCCAACAAGUGUGAUUUCGGCGUCACUUUGGGCAAGUUUUUAGGCUUCAUCAUCACUCAACGCGGUAUCGAGGCCAACCCUGAGAAAAUACAGGCCAUACUGGACAUGGUACCUCCUUGGUCAGUGAAGGAAACCCAGAAGCUCACCGGCCAUGUGGAAACGCUCAACCGCUUUAUAUCAAAAUUAGCUAACCGUUGUCUUCCCUUCUUCUGAGUCAUCAAGAAACUAAAGGACUUCCAAUGGAUCAGGGAAUGUUAGUGAGCUUUCGAUGAACUCAAGGAGUAUCUCGCCUCGCCUCCCCUCCCCUCUUGGCCUGCCCGGUACCAGAGAAACUCUAUACCUUUACCUGUCAGCCAGGGACGAAACGGUCAGCUUAGUCCUGAUUAGAUAUGACAGAGCACAGAAACCGGUAUACUAUAUGAUAGGUCCCAGUCAAAGCUAGAGAGAGAUAGAGUAUUCUACUUAGGGUGAGAAUAAGACCACAAGAGUUUAUUAACUUUCAACUGCCCCAUCCAUGUGGUGGGGUGGUGUUUAAAUACAAAAACUUCUA